CUAUUAGAUUUCAGACAAUCGCACUGUCCCUUUUAAAAGAGAUGUGAGGAAAGUCCGGACUCCACAAAGAGCAGGGCUGCCGGGAGAAAUUCCCGGAUUUUAUGAACGCAAGUUUAUAAAAUAGAAAGUGUCACAGAAAAGAAAACCGUCCCGUGCAAACGUGAUAAGGGUGAAAAGGCAGGGUAAGAGCCUACCAUUCAGAAAGCAAUUUCUGAGAUUGAUAAACCUCAGUCGGAGCAAGACCAUGUAUAGUGAAUUGAAGAUCUGCUCACUUUAUAUAUUCCCGGGGUAGGUCGCAAAAAACAUGUUAGCAAUAACAUGUUAAGAUAAAUGAUUGUCAUCGGUGAUGAACUGAAACAGAAUCCGGCUUAUAGAAAUCAAUAGAGAU
rnacentral:RNase_P_RNA from 1 species